AUUGAACGCUGGCGGCAUGCCUUACACAUGCAAGUCGAACGGCAGCACGGGUGCUUGCACCUGGUGGCGAGUGGCGAACGGGUGAGUAAUACAUCGGAACAUGUCCUGUAGUGGGGGAUAGCCCGGCGAAAGCCGGAUUAAUACCGCAUACGAUCUACGGAUGAAAGCGGGGGACCUUCGGGCCUCGCGCUAUAGGGGUGGCCGAUGGCUGAUUAGGUAGGUGGUGGGGUAAAGGCCUACCAAGGCGACGAUCAGUAGCUGGUCUGAGAGGACGACCAGCCACACUGGGACUGAGACACGGCCCAGACUCCUACGGGAGGCAGCAGUGGGGAAUUUUGGACAAUGGGCGAAAGCCUGAUCCAGCAAUGCCGCGUGUGUGAAGAAGGCCUUCGGGUUGUAAAGCACUUUUGUCCGGAAAGAAAUCCUUGGCCCUAAUACGGUCGGGGGAUGACGGUACCGGAAGAAUAAGCACCGGCUAACUACGUG
rnacentral:rRNA from 1 species